GACGAACGCUGGCGGCGUGCUUAACACAUGCAAGUCGAACGGACCUGUUUUUGAAGCGCUUCGGCGUGGAGGGAGCGGGUUAGUGGCGCACGGGUGAGUAAUGCGCGAGGACCUGCCCGCGGGAGGGGGACAGCAGUUGGAAACGGCUGGUGAUACCCCGUAAGCCGGGAGGUGAAAGGGCGGAGACGCCCGCCUGCGGAUGGACUCGCGUCCUAUCAGCUAGUUGGUGAGGCAACGGCUCACCAAGGCGACGACGGGUAGCCGGCCUGAGAGGGUGUCCGGCCACACUGGAACUGAGACACGGUCCAGACUCCUACGGGAGGCAGCAGUGGGGAAUUUUGGGCAAUGGGGGAGACCCUGACCCAGCGACGCCGCGUGAGGGACGAAGGCCCUUGGGUCGUAAACCUCUUUUGCAGGGGAAGAAGAAGAUGACGGUACCUUGCGAAUAAGUCCCGGCUAACUACGUG
rnacentral:rRNA from 1 species